AAAGUAUUUAGAGCAGGGAUGCACCGAAUCCAGGAUUCAGUUUCAGAUCUGGUCAAAAAUUUGACUUUUUGACAGGGUUUGGUUUCUGCCAAACUUUAGAGUUACUUCCACCGAACCCAACCCUACGCUUGUGCUACUCUGGUCAAUGUAAUUGGGCCGCAGUUGAUUCCGGGAAGU